rnacentral:rRNA from 1 species
UACGGAGGGUGCGAGCGUUGUCCGGAAUCACUGGGCGUAAAGGGCGCGUAGGCGGCUUUUUAAGGGUGCGGUGAAAGCCCGGGGCUUAACCCCGGGUCGGCCGUGCCGACUGAAAAGCUGGAGCACUGUAGAGGCAGGUGGAAUUCCGGGUGUAGCGGUGGAAUGCGUAGAGAUCGGGAAGAACAUCGGUGGCGAAGGCGGUCUGCUGGGCCCGUUGCUGACGCUGAGGCGCGACAGCGUGGGGGAGCAAACAGG